AAUUACAAAAACUUCAAAAAGAUGGAGAGAGAUUGCUGGAGGAGGAGGCAUUCGUAGAAAAACAACGGAUACAUAAACUGUGCAAACAAUUUUAUAAAAAGGAAUCUAGAACCAGAGAUUUCAUAAUAUAAAAAUUAGAUGGAAGACACAAGAGAGCGAUCUAUUUAACGGUGGAUAUAAUUAUGAUAUUUUACAUAAAAUGUGUUUUCAAAAUAUGGAGAUGUAGUGGCACUCGUCGUGUCAUCUGCAAAAAAAGGCAAAGCAUUAGUAACAUUUGCAAAUAAGAGUGCAGCAGAAACAGCACUUUUACAGAUUGGAUUAAUAAGAAAUCCACUCAUAUUAAGUGGUUUAUGGCGGGAUACGCGGAAACGUUCGAGUGCUCCUAUAAUAAAAAAUAGCACAAAUUUAAAUUUUAUUGAACAACUAUCUUCAGGCACACAUUUAGUUAAUGGAAUAAGCACAUCACUUAGCUUUGCUUCUGCACCUGAUAUAUUUGCACAAGCAAGAUAUAGAAUGUCAGAUGCAGAGAGUGAAGUAUUAUCUGAUUUAAAAAAAGCAGAGGAACGCAAACGACUCCUAGAAGAUUUGAAGGCACAAGAAGGAAAAGAAACUUAGAAAGAUAUAACGAGAGUAAAAAAAAA